GAUGAGGACAUUACUUCCUCUGGAACAGAAGGGCAACAGGCCAGGAAGGAAAUACAGGAUUUAUUUGAAGAAUUUGAAGAGCCCAUUAAGCACUUCCUUGAGGGGAACAGAGAAAGAUUCACAGCGAUCAUCGCUGCCUCUUUCGAAACCAUGGAGCAGAAAGUUGAGGAUGUUCUCAAAAGACAGUGUGAACAAAGG